ACUAGUGGCGCACGGGUGCGUAACGCGUAACCAACCUGCCCUUGACUGGGGGAUAGCCCGCCGAAAGGCGGAUUAAUACCGCAUAAACCAACAGCCUGGCAUCAGGCAAUUGGUAAAGAUUUAUUGGUCAAGGAUGGGGUUGCGUGACAUUAGCUAGUUGGCGGGGUAACGGCCCACCAAGGCGACGAUGUCUAGGGGACCUGAGAGGGUGAUCCCCCACACUGGCACUGAGAUACGGGCCAGACUCCUACGGGAGGCAGCAGUAGGGAAUAUUGGGCAAUGGGCGAGAGCCUGACCCAGCCAUGCCGCGUGCCGGAUGAAGGCCUUCUGGGUUGUAAACGGCUUUUCUCAGGGAAGAAAAAGACCAUGCGUGGUACACUGACGGUACCUGAGGAAUAAGCACCGGCUAACUCCGUGCCAGCAGCCGCGGUAAUACGGAGGGUGCAAGCGUUGUCCGGAUUUAUUGGGUUUAAAGGGUGCGUAGGUGGCCCUGUAAGUCCGUGGUGAAAGCCUCUCGCUUAACGAGAGA
rnacentral:rRNA from 1 species